AAUGGGGGAAACCCUGACCCAGCGACGUCGCGUGAGUGAAGAAAUCCCUCGGGAUGUAAAGCUCUGUUGUACGGGAAGAGGAGCAGACGGUACCGUACGAGGAAGCCCCGGCAAACUACGUGCCAGCAGCCGCGGUAAUACGUAGGGGGCAAGCGUUGUCCGGAAUUACUGGGCGUAAAGCGCACGCAGGCGGCCGAUCAAGUCGGUUGUAAAAGGCAGUGGCUCAACUACUGUAAGACGGCCGAUACUGAUGAGCUAGAGUAUGUGAGAGGGAAGCGGAAGUCCCGGUGUAGCGGUGAAAUGCGUAGAUAUCGGGAGGAACACCAGUGGCGAAAGCGGGUUCCUGGACUGUAACUGACGCUCAGACGCGAAAG
rnacentral:rRNA from 1 species